CAGGUUGAUCGGGCAAUCGCGGUCCUGCGUUGUCGGGAUCGAGGAAAGUCCGCACUCCAUAGAGCACGACGUCGGAUAGCACCCGGGACGGGAAACCGCCGAGAGGCGUGAACCUGCCGGAAAAGGGCCACAGAAACAAACAGCCGCCCCGCCCUUACGGGCGGACGGUGAUGGUGAAAAGGUGGUGUAAGAGACCACCGGCGUUUGCAGUAAUGCAGGCGGCCAGGUAACCCCCGUCGGGAGCAAGGCCAAGCAGGGGCGAAAUCGUCUGUGGACGAUGGGAGACUGCUCGUCUCCGCACGUGCUCCUUCCAACCGUGGGAGGAGCCAGCCCCGGGUAGGCUGCACCGAGCAGCGCGGCGACGCGCUGCCCAGAGAGAUGGUUGCACAGAUGGCGCAAGCCAUUGGACAGAAUGCGGCUUAUAGAUCGGCCUGAGGU
rnacentral:RNase_P_RNA from 1 species